CUCCGCUCUCCAUUCUCCACCCUUUCCAUUCCUCAUUUCCUCUGUUCUCCUCUGUUUCUCUCCUCUCUGCAACAUCGCUUCUCCUCAUCUCAAGGGCUGACGAGCUUCAACGGCAUCAAUGGCGCCCAAGGGCGGUCGCGGUAAAUCGAAAGCCGAGAAGAAGAAGAAAGAAGAAAAAGUUCUUCCGGUAGCUCUGGACAUCACAGUGAACCUCCCCGACGACUCUCACGUUAUUCUGAAGGUACAGAUUAAGCGAUAAGCUCUGUCUUAAGCCUUUAUUUAUCUUUAAUCCUCAUUUAUAGUUCUUCUAAGUAGAACUAACCACUUCCUCAAAUCUCAUUUAGAAAAAAAAAUGAUUUUUUUGCU